ACCAAGAGUCAGACGCUUUACCAACUGAAUGAACCAUCUUCUCCCACCACCCCUCCCACACCCCCAGGAAAUUUGUUUCUAAUGAGUAUUCAAGAUAUUUCUGAUGCUGCAGGGCUACAGACCUAGCCCUUCCUUCACAAACGUCAACAUCAGCCUUCUGGGUUGUAACAACUGUGUUUCACCUGGCAACCGUCUUCUCUUUCACCCUUUCCUCACUACCUUACAGAAAACUUAUUUUCCCAGAAAUCGUUCUCAUUUUGAAGAUAUUCUCCCUUUAAACAACGGGAAGACAUCAUUAUGUUUGGUGGGGAGGACAGCCUCCAAGCACAGAUGUCCUUCCUCUAUUGUUCCGGAUAAAAGAUGGAGCUGCAAAGCCAACUCUAGGUGCCAGUGCAUUGCAUCCUGCUUCCUCACUUGUUAAUGACCAAUCUCUUUGAAACGCUCACACACAGUAGAUUGGAGUUGUGAAUGGAAAUCCUAGGAAACAGUGAUCACUGGUUUGGGGGCAUUUAUACCAGCAUAAAGCAGCCCAUUGUGGGAAUCUGCCAUUUCCAUCAGCUGGCCUUCAAAGUUCCGAAGUAAGCAAAUGACAGAAAAGCAAAGCAAACAAAACAACAAAAACGAACCAGCAUUUCCUCCAAAAAAGAACGCAAUGCCAUUUAAGCUUCAGUUACACUUCUCGCUGCCCUGGGAGCAGCCACGCCAGGGCCCGAGGCCUCUGGCCGAUCCAGGGCCCAUUUUGAGUUCCCCGCAUUGUUCCUGGCACCGCGGCUCCUGUGUAGCAAGCAGGAUAUUCGACUUGACAAGGCUCUUUCUUUCUGGAUCAGGGAGGGAGCAAGGUUCUUGUCAGUUUGAAUCACGAGUCCACACUUGGCGGAGCCGACUGGACAGGCCCAGUGGGGGAAGGGGCCAUGUGCGCGCCAUCCGUGCGCGCGUCACGUGGGCCUCUCUCCCCAUCUCGCAAAUAACUCCACUGGCUUCAAGCUACCCUGCUCCGAGAGGGCCUGUUUACCAUGUGGCCAGCUGAUCCGCUUCUGACGCUGAAUCUCCUCGUUAUCCAGCAGCUAAAAUUUUACUUUCAGGCUUCAUCCUUCUACCGCGAUUUUUCUCACAGCGGCAGCUGAGAAUAUCCAGUUAUGCAAUUCUCAGGGUUUUACUGUUUUAAAACGCAUUUCUAAGGAUUAUAUAUAUAUAUAUAUAUAUGCUUUUUUUGGAGUCCAUGUCAAAAGGCUUUCAGAAGUCAUAAAAAAAAAAAAAUCCCCCAACUGAAAACUUAGUAUAUGUUGUUCUAAAAAAUGUUUUGUCUUUAUUAUUAUUUUUUGAAAAAACGGAGUUUUAGAAGAAUAACAUAGAAUUAAUGAAAGGUACAGUCUGGGAAUUUUGAUUGGGUAACGAAGAAAACAAAAGUGUUCACGUUACUUUAUCUCUUUAUCCCUAAAAGUUGGCACUUCAGUUGUGUUUCUUGGAAGAGGAAAGAAGAAAGUUUGAUUGGUUGCGAAUUCUCACACGUGUCUGAAAAAUAAGUAAUCUGGUCCCAUGUUUCUUUACAUGGACCUUGAGAACACUAUUUUUGAUUAUCAUAUGAAUGUGAAAUUCUAUCCUUUGCCGGGUUUUUUUGUUUCCUAAUAGCGAAAUGGCAAGAAAGCCUUUUUUCUGAGCCCAUGCAAACCACUCUUUAGAAUGUUUUUAUGGCAACAGAACCGGUCACUAGCUAUUUGUGACUUAAUUACAGAAUUUUGUGAUGCUGAUUAUCCAACCAACUUGCUAAAUAUGUCAACAAACCAGGUGAUUAAGGGAAGGAAAAAGGAAAAUGGUUGAUAAUGUUAAAUUCAGUCAAAACAAUUGUCCUGUGCUUUUUUGCAUCCUUUUCAAGGUUUUCUGCUGAAACUAAAACUCAAAUAAUAAAAUCACACUUUGUGUAACAAA